rnacentral:rRNA from 1 species
UCGGGUUGUAAACCUCUUUUAGCAGGGAAGAAGCCAAAGUGACGGUACCUGCAGAAAAAGCGCCGGCUAACUACGUGCCAGCAGCCGCGGUAAUACGUAGGGCGCAAGCGUUAUCCGGAAUUAUUGGGCGUAAAGAGCUCGUAGGCGGUCUGUCGCGUCUGCUGUGAAAACCCGAGGCUCAACCUCGGGCCUGCAGUGGGUACGGGCAGACUAGAGUGCGGUAGGGGAGAUUGGAAUUCCUGGUGUAGCGGUGGAAUGCGCAGAUAUCAGGAGGAACACCGAUGGCGAAGGCAGAUCUCUGGGCCGUAACUGACGCUGAGGAGCGAAAGGGUGGGGAGCAAACAGGCUUAGAUACCCUGGUAGUCCACCCCGUAAACGUUGGGAACUAGUUGUGGGGACCAUUCCACGGUCUCCGUGACGUAGCUAACGCAUUAAGUUCCCCGCCUGGGGAGUACGGCCGCAAGGCUAAAACUCAAAGGAAUUGACGG